CCUANGGGUGGCAGCAGUAAGGAAUAUUGGUCAAUGGACGCAAGUCUGAACCAGCCAUGCCGCGUGGAGGAUGAAGGUCCUCUGGAUUGUAAACUUCUUUUAUCUGGGAAGAAAAAGGACUUUUCUAAGUCAACUGACGGUACCAGAUGAAUAAGCACCGGCUAACUCCGUGCCAGCAGCCGCGGUAAUACGGAGGGUGCAAGCGUUAUCCGGAUUCACUGGGUUUAAAGGGUGCGUAGGUGGGCAGGUAAGUCAGUGGUGAAAUCUCUGGGCUUAACCCGGAAACUGCCAUUGAUACUAUCUGUCUUGAAUACCCUGGAGGUGAGCGGAAUAUGUCAUGUAGCGGUGAAAUGCUCAGAUAUGACAUAGAACACCCAUUGCGAAGGCAGCUCACUACAGGAAUAUUGACACUGAGGCACGAAAGCGUGGGGAUCAAACAGGAUUAGAUACCCGGNUANUC
rnacentral:rRNA from 1 species